AAUCACAAUUGUCUCAGGGCGACGUUAAGCACCGGACAGAGCCACGGUGCGGCUGCAAAAUAGCCCCCGGGAGGAACUCGUUUUGGUGGAACAUGUGUACGUUCAAAGGUGGUUUUAAU